rnacentral:rRNA from 1 species
GAUGAACGCUGGCGGCGUGCCUAAUACAUGCAAGUCGAGCGAACAGACGAGGAGCUUGCUCCUCUGACGUUAGCGGCGGACGGGUGAGUAACACGUGGAUAACCUACCUAUAAGACUGGGAUAACUUCGGGAAACCGGAGCUAAUACCGGAUAAUAUAUUGAACCGCAUGGUUCAAUAGUGAAAGACGGUUUUGCUGUCACCUAUAGAUGGAUCCGCUCCGCAUUAGCUAGUUGGUAAGGUAACGGCUUACCAAGGCGACGAUGCGUAGCCGACCUGAGAGGGUGAUCGGCCACACUGGAGCUGAGACACGGUCCAGACUCCUACGGGAGGCAGCAGUAGGGAAUCUUCCGCAAUGGGCGAAAGCCUGACGGAGCAACGCCGCGUGAGUGAUGAAGGUCUUCGGAUCGUAAAACUCUGUUAUUAGGGAAGAACAAAUGUGUAAGUAACUAUGCACGUCUUGACGGUACCUAAUCAGAAAGCCACGGCUAACUACGUG